UUUUUUUUUUGUUUGUUUUUUGUUUUUUUUUUUGGUUUUUCUUUCUUUUGUUUUGCUUUUAAACUAGCAGAGCUUGAUAUAUUCCUAAGGUCUAGCCCAGGCAGUAAAUUAGGACCAGGGUGUCAUAGUAUGUUUUCGAUUUUAGUGCUAAAAAGACUUUUGUACUUGUUCUUCCUCAUUCCUCCUGUUUCUUUUCAAGAAUACUCUUUAGGAAAAAAAUUGUUAAAAUGCUUAUCAAACAAUUUUCAUGCUUUAAGCUGAUUAUGAACUUGGACUUUAAGAAAGGAAAUAAGCAGUAGGAUAGAUUUUUUUAAAUCCUCAGAAACAUUCCUUUGGGGGAGAUGCUGUUUUGGGUAGCAGUUCAGCUUGGGUGUCAGUGUCUGCUGGUAGGCUUAUCGUAACUGAGAACACUGAGCUUUUCUUAAAAAAAAAAAAUUCCUUUGCUGGAAUGAAUAAUUGAAAAUGCUGAGCCAUUAAAACUUCAAAGAUUAAUUUCUCCAUUAAUGGCAUAAGGUGAUAGAGAGAAACAAUCAGGCUAAAGAAGAAUAAUCAUGCUAACCCAACUGGGGCAUUUCAGCUGAUAUUUAAAAGUACUAGGCCAAAACUUUGAUCUCCUUCAGUUUUGUUUGAGGGAUUUUUUAGUCAUUUAAAACUGCAGAGACCUUCUGUCUUUGUGUGUUUGAACUGUGUUCUGAUAUAUGAUUUUCUUUUAAUCCUUUCAGGUAAUAGGAUACAAAGUGCUAUUUCAGGGGACUGUGAGCGGCAGGGUGGUUAUUUCAUGACCAGCGUCAGAUAUUCCCAGAAGGCUUUGGGUAUAUUUUUAAUGUGCUUACUUGAUAGCCGCAAGUCCAUUCAGUUAUAUUAAACUUGGAGGCAGACCAUCUCACUUUUCUAAAGAAAGAACAAUGAUGCAACAGGAAGUGAGAUGGCAAAGACGAGACACCUGUGUUCCAAGAUAAACCCAAUAAGGCAGGGCCUGGGUUUCAGUAACAAUUGGAGAUAGGGUUGACUUAACCAAAAACUUACUUUUUAGUAGCCAACUCUGCCAGGACCAGAUAUAUAUUUUCCAGGUUUUUAGCUAAGAGUACAGAAGCUAGCUGAUAAUAACACCAGACAGAUUGUUUUCUCUUUGUUAGUGAAAUGUUUAUACUGUGUAAGUCUAACUCAUAAAACAUCAUCAUGAAUGCUUAUCAGUUUUCUAUGGUUGUAGGAACUUUCUCAGAGGCUGUAAAUCAGAUCAUUAUAACUAUUGUUGUCAUCAAUAUUACUGGCAAAAUCAGUACCAUAUUAGUAAGAGAUAAAUAUUAUAUAGGGUUUCUGCCUUUAUUUAUUUCCUGUUAUGUCUGAGGCACUGUUUUUGGCCUAUUCAAAACAUCAUCUUUAUUCCUUAUAACGGCCCUGCUUAGUAAGUAUUAUUCAUGCCAUUUAACAUUUGAAGAAACAGAGUUUAAGUAACUUGUCCAAGGGUUAUAAAUGAUUGAAGAUUCUAGUAGGACUUCUUCAACUCUGAAAAACAAAUUCCAUCACAGUCGCUUUUUCCCAUUUUUUAUACUGCUUUUCUUUUAGAACUAGUGGAUGGAGUGGUUUUCCUUGCCAAUAUCACUUACUCAGAAGAAAUAUCUUUCUUUCUUUCUUUGCAGUCAUAUUGUAUUUACUGAAUAUUCACAAGUUCUUCAGUUCCACAGCUGUCUAACUGGUGGGAGAAAAAAAGACAAAUUGUGGUAGGGAACUCUGGUGCAUCUUCAUUGUAGAAAGAAAAGGAAGCACAUACCAAACUUUGGCCCUAGUACUUGGAAUUCUGGUGGGAUUGGUUACCUUUACAUGUCCCAUUUAAGUUUUUCACAUCUUGGGCUGUGGGAGAACUGUUCACAUGGACUAGUGAUCUGGGUAAGUUCAACAAUAGCCAACUCUGAGUGCUUUCCAAGGUGUGAGGUACUCACACUGAUUAUCUUUUUAGUCAACACAUCAACUCUAUGAGUUCAGUACUGUUGUCACUCUCAUUACAGAUAAGGUCAAGGUCAUUCAUAUACUUUUUGGUAGAAGAGGAAUUAAACUGAUUAACUAAUUAGACUCAAUAUCAAAAUACGGUCAUUAUUAACAUGAUAUUUGGUAAUUUUUCAAGUUAGUAUUCUCAAGUGUCUUGAAAUUGUGAUGUACUAUAAUUUUCAAACAUCCUAAUUUGUAAUUAAAAUAUAUAAAAUAUUGAAAUUUGAAAUGAUCCACUUUUUGUAAACUAGAGAACUUUCAAGGAUUUCUUUUAAAUACCAUCAGCUUCUACUGUUUGCAUUCAAAUAUAUUUUCUUUUGUAUGAGAUAAAUGUUUGUAAUAGCGGGCAGUAUGCAGGAAACUGAACACAAUGCUGUUAUCUAUUUUGCUACUUUAUUUCCUAUCUUGGAUGUUCAAAAGCCAUCUAAAGGGCCUGACACAGCUUGUCUUUACAUGUAACGAGUGCGGUAUGAUCUUGCUAUAAUCAUGACAGUAAGGAACAGAGUGGUUAGAAGCACAGAUUGUAGGGGUUGAAGCCAGCCUUCCAACAUAUACCAGCUCUGUAAUUUUAGGCAGAUUAUAUAUCCUGCCCAAGACUUGAUUUCCUCAUGAAAGAAAUAGGGGUAAUAAUAAUAGUAUGUAACUCAGAGAGUUAUUGCGAAAAAUAAGUAGAUGCGUUUAGCACAGUGCUUGGUUUAGAGUAGGUGCUCAAUAAUAUUAGCUGAUAUAAUCUCCUAUUCUACAAGGAUUCUGUCUUCCCCUGACUCAAUAAAGUCUAGUUAUAUGGUAAUAACACAAAAUAAGGAGCUAUAUGUUCACCUGUGGGGUGAGCUAAGGAAGUCUUGGUCUGAGUACUAUAAAUUGAUAUGUACUAUUUGACUUAUUUCAUUUUUAGUUUCAUGUAUUAUGAGGGGAGGAGGGAACAGAUAGACAAUAAAUAACUCUGAGAGGGUUAAUAAAAUACUUACUCUUUUCUAUCUAAUCUUGUAAACUAGUAAGCACUAUUUUUGUCUUAUUAAUAGAAACAUUGCCUCCAAGAUGAUGAAGAAUUUGUAUAUGGGGAGGCCUUUAAUCACUUCUCACUAGUUACUGAUUUUUUAAGAAACUAAUCAUUAACAAAAUGGAAAUUAGUACAUUUUGAAUUCUUUUGGAAUGUAUUUUCUUCUUCUUGUGGCUUGAAAAUAGCUUAUGCUAUCUGUGCAGAGAGUUAAAAAAAAAAAAUCCACGUAAAUGCAGACGGACUUGGUGUUAAGAGCCAGUAGAAGGAGCUGAGUGGGCUGGAGGACUGCACAGUAGGAUGCGUCAGGACUGGGGCAAGGUGCUGAUUCAGAAGGGACUGCCUACCAAGGUACUGUUAGACAUCACCUGCUCUGAUGCGGUGGCCAACAUUAUUGCUAGCACUCAUUUUCUUGGCAGGUUGUCUGUAGUGUGAUAAAACAUUGCUACUACCAUAGCUCAGUGAGCUCUAUUUUCAAUAAGGGCCACACAGGUUUCUCAUCUUCCAUAAUAUUCUUCAAGCAUCUUUUGACUCAGGAUCUCAUACCUUACACAUGCUAUAGGAGAACAGCAAAGAUUUUUGGCUGUAGAGGUAAAGAGUAGAGUUUCCUUUUAUGCUCUGAAAGUUUUCUAUAUGCAGAUUUAUCUUCCCAGUCUCUUUUGCACCUACCUCUCUGCCACGUGAGCAUCUAGCACAACCUUCCUUCUCUGUCUGAAUGCCUUCUUAUUGUCUGUAGUUGUGUACUCUUUCCACCAGGAGGAGUAUGAUGAUUAAGCUGGCAUAAGGCUUUCUUUGAGUUAUUAAACACAAAAAAGGACUUUAGCUAUGAGAAAAAGAUGUCAGAAGUUGUAAAUGAUGAAAAAAUUGGAAAAAGCAAUUUUGUUUUUAUUGGUAUUAAUUUUAUUAACAAAUGGAGUGAAUGGGAAAGCCUGUUAAAUUCCAUUUCUGGUGAGGAAGGGAGUGUGAUGAAAUAAAACAAACAUACAUACUUAUCUAUUUGAUUUUGUCUAAUUCCCUUCUUCCUGCCUCCCUUUGUUUCUAUGCCCUGUGAAUUACUUCUGACAGAAUCUCAUUUUCACUUAUCCACUGACCACCGUGGUCAGGGCAAGGCACUUAUCCCUCAUUAUAUCAAACUCAGCAUCUCUAAAGUAGGAAUGAAGCUUGCUAUUAUGUUUGUGAGGUGACCUUCUGAAGGUGAACUUCUGCUCUUGUAUCAUUUAGUGUUUUGCUGCUAAGCAGCAGGAUACCAACUGUAAGAGGGGACACCAAUAUGGGAGAGGUUUAGUUACCAUUGUUGGUGCUACCAUGAGGAAAGAGGUUGUUGAGGUCUUUGUUAAGGUAACCCUGAUCAGACUGCCACCAGAACAACUGAAGCAUAAUUCAGUUCAUCCUCAUUUGGUCUAUGAAUUCAUCUUUUCCCCAUUCCGCUAAUGUGUUUCAUGGUUUUAAAAUAGCUCCUAGCGAUUUCACUCUAAGAGGAUUCUGUAUUGUCAAUGUGAGGCAUAUCUUAAGUCCAAUGAAUGGUAUCACUUCUACAGGUCACAUUUAACGAAUAAGCUCUUCUCCACAGCACGUAUUGUACUGUGUAUAAACCACAUGAUCCUGUGCGUCCAGCAGGACAGCAUGAAUCUUGGUGGUAUUGAUACUCGUCAUGGCAAGAGCAUGACUGCUUUCAUGAUCAAGAAGUUUUAUUUUACAUUAUUCCUAUUUUUCCUGAUUUGUAUGACCCCAAAACUAAGUCCUUUAGUCCUAGAAAAUGUCUUGGCUCAUAUUUCUUCAUUUAAAACAAUAUUUUUACUCAGAGAUUAAAAAUUUAAAAAUAGAUUUUAAAAGAUAUGCUCCUAGUUGAACUAUAGUCAUAAAAUUUUUAUAUUGGUUCGUACUGGUUCAUAAACUCUUUCUUAGAUAGUCUUAGGUAGUCUUAGAUAGAGUAGAUGUAUAAGAAUAAAACAAUUACUUGAGAAUUGAUUCUCAAAGCUCUAUCUAUCUUCCUUCCUUGGGCAUACAUAUACAUGUACUUCUUAUAGCAUUAGCGAAAAUAAGUAUCAAAGAUCAAGAAAGAAGAAUUAAAACUCCAUGGAUUCCUCUUUUAUUUAUACUUCUGUUUUCAUUUAUACUUUUCAUUUAUACAUUUAUACAUUUAUACUGUUUUCAUUUAUACUUCUGUUUAUUUAUACUUCUGUUUACAUUUAUAUAACCCAGAAGUGGUUUUGUAGUUUAGGCUCUUUAAAAACAAACAAAAAACGAAAAAUGUGUGAAUUUUUGUUUUGAAUUUCACAUCAAAAAUUCUGGAAUAACGCACAUUUUAGUUGACUGUAUCUUUAUUAAUAAAUAUACUCUAUAUCUUUUUUUCUCUACUUGCUCUAAAAGAGGUCUGUUGAAGUUAUCCAUUAUGACGUGGUUUAUAUCAGUUACUCUUUUUAUUAUUCGCUUUUUUUUGCUAUAUACAUUUUGAUGUUAUGUUAUUUGAUCCACAAAGUUGGAUGGAUGUAAUAACUUCUUGGCGGUUUGUAACUUUUUAUCAACAUAAAGUAUUCCUUUUAUUUAGUUAACACUUUCUCCCUUUGAAUUCUAUGUUGUGCCUUUAUUUAUUUAUUUAUUUGUCUGUUUAUUUAUUUAUUUAUUUAUUUAUUUUAGGGCCAUACCACAACAUAGGAAGUUCCCAGGCUAGGGGUCAAAUUGGAGCUAUAGCUGCCAGCCUAUGCCACAGCCACAAGCAACACAGCAUCUGGGCUGCACCUGUGACCUACACGACAGUUCAUGGCAACGCCAGAUCCUUAACGCAUUGAGUGAGUCCAGGACCGCAACCUCAUGGUUCCUAGUCGGAUUCGUUAACCACUGCGCCACAACGGGAACUCCUAGAGUUCUCUUGAUGUAUCUGUUUUUUUAUUUUCAAUUUUUUCGUGUCAUUUUGUAGCAGAUGUGUCUGUUAUAAAUAGGACAUAGGUAACUUCCAUUCCUUAAAAGGAGCCCUUAUCCAUUCAUAUUUAUCAUGAUUACUAACAUUUAAAUUUUAUUUUUACCCUCAUCUUUUAUGCUCUUGAUUUAGCAUGCUCAUUGGGUUUUUUUACAACACAUUUGCUGAUUUGAUUUUUUCUUGUUUGUUUCUCUCUUUAUUUUGCCUUUAGUGACUUGAGAAGUGUCAUUUGCUGUGGUCGAGGGUUCUUAGGAAUUUUCACUUCCUGGUUCCCCUUCUUUCAGUUCUUUAGAAAACUUCUUCCCUCACUCCAUGUGGGGCUCACAGUCACCAUGGUGGAGGUGUGGACAUAGUGACUGAAUCCCACAUGACUCAGGCUGGCUGAGCAGAGCAAUUCACAUGUCUGGCCAGAAAUGGAGUAAAGAAUGAGCCAGUCCCUGAUCAGAACCUUUCCUGGAAUAAAAAUUACUAACCUCCUUUACAAUAAGCCAUAACCUUUAGCGUAUUGCUACUUUCUUCUUUCUCUCUAAAGUCACCUAUCUUGUUGAAAUCAUUUUCAAUUUUAAUUAUAUUUUUUAAGCUUUUAUAGUAUAAUUACUUUAUUUUCAUAUUUAAUUAAUGCUUUAUUAAGCUUUGCAUCCAUAUUAACCUUUCUUUAUACUUAUAUUUAAGUUUACCAGUUUUUUUCGUUCAGUACCAUUUCUUGUAUCUCAUGUCUUCCUAUUUUGUAGAUACUUUAUUUGGAGGAAUAUGUCUAGGAGUUUUUUAGAAAGUUUGAGUGGGCAGUAAACUUUCUGAAUACUCAGUUGAAUAAAAAUGUCUCAUUUGUUUGCGCAUUCAGUGAUGAUUUAUAUGACUUUGCAUACAAUUUUGUAUAAGACUUUAGAUUCAAAAUCCCUUUCUUUUAGAACUCUAUAGAAAUUAUUACAUUGUAUUUUUGCAUCCCAUGAAGAAGAUGAAAAGUGUAAAUCCACCUGUGUCUUAAUAAUUUAAGACUAUUUAAAAAAUAAUUUUAUUUCUGGAGCUGCGAAAUCUUACCUGAAUGAUUUUAAGUGUUUCCCUUUUCGUUAUUCCUGCUUGGGACUAAAACUAAAGAUUUUGUUGUUCCUUGGCUCAAAGAAAAUUUCUUUCAUUAUUAUUAAGGAAACCAUUUAAAAAUAAUUUUUAAAUCAUCCAAAUUAUAUGUGAAUAAUAGUUACUGUGUUCAGCUGUAGUAAUGCACUGAGUAAAAGUUUGAGUGCCUCCACAGUCAUUCCUUUAAUUUCCCAGGUCAUAUGAAGCUGUAAAUCUAGCCUGCAUAUACCUGUAGGAGCUGCUAGUAUGAGGCUCUAUCUGAGGGUGCUUGAUCAAGGCACAGGGACAUAAAAUUGAACAGUGGAGAGUUUAUUGAUUUCAGAGCAUGCACUUGACAUACAGGAUUUAAUGCCCUGGCAAAGUCCUCAGGAGGUGGUAUGGACUUGCUACUGGGAUGGCUUCUAGAAGUAUAGAAAAAAAUGAUGGUUCAUAAACUAUAUGUACUUGAAAUGCCAGAAUUUGUGUGAGACAGUGAAGGAAGGGAUCAAAAGGCCCAAGGAAAUGAGCAUGCUGAAGUUAUUUUACUAUGUGAAGGCAGAAGACCCAUUAGAGCAUUGUGUUCCAGAGGCACACCCAGAGGACAUACCACCCACCAAGGCCACAGAGAACAUGCUUGUGUGAGGGUACCAGCAUCACUAAAAGUGCUCAGUGGUGCCUGCCCUCUGUAAAUCAGGACUAAUGGGAGAAGAGACUGUUAGAGAACUAGGCUGAUAAGAAGCCAAAACAAUAGAGGCCAGGUGGCAGCACUUAAGUCUAGAGGCCAGGUGGAUGCAAUUAUUAUAAUGAAGUUUCUGAUCAGUUUAAACAUGGAAGAGAGAGAAGAGAAAGGGUUUCAGAGCAAUGCAGCAUGAAAAAGUCUUGAUCAGCUAUUGUUGGCUUUGAAGAUUGGUGGGGACCAUGAGCCAGGGGAAUAUGGGCAACCUUUAGAAGCUUGGAAAAGCCAAGUCAGUGGAUUCCAACAGGAACACUAACCUUGAUUUAGCCUGGUGGGACCCUUUUUUUACUUUGACCUCCAUAACUGUCAGAUAGUAAAUUUUUGUUGUUUAAGCCACGGAUUGUGUGGCAUUUGUGACAGAAGCAAUAGGAAAUAGAAUGCAUACACUAAUACUCAUCCAUUUAAUUUAUAAGUCUGCCCACUAAAGGAGGCACAUGCAUCCUAGAGGAUCCCACUGGACUACUGUAAACUCACUCAAGUCGUAGCCCAUUUGCAGCUGCUGUGAAAAAUGUAAAUUUGGUAGCAGAUUAAUAUGGCUUCGGGAACAUGCAUUUGCAAUGCUGGCAAAUGCAUUUUUUUUCUAUUCCAAU
rnacentral:lncRNA from 1 species